rnacentral:lncRNA from 1 species
AAUGGUCUAACUGGUGCAAUCAUGAAGAGAGUUAAUGGUUAACAGACAUUGGCCAAUAACAAAACACCCCAUGGACUGUGACUCGAGUAUCCAACAGGCAGUCAGAGCUCUCCCGGUCUGAAAGUUGCAUUGCCACUGCUAACUUUGGGAUUGCAUCAGAGAGGCCCUGAGUGGGGUUGAGAUGAGGAAUGCUGAUACCUGAUUCUAGUUAUGGAUAUGGAGGCAAGGAGAAGUUGUUAGGUUAACCAGCGCAGUCCUCCGUGCGUCCCGCCCGCCGCUGCCCUCACUCCCGGCCAGGAUGGCAUCCUGUCUGGCCCUGCGCAUGGCGCUGCUGCUGGUCUCCGGGGUUCUGGCCCC